AGCGAACGCUGGCGGCAGGCUUAACACAUGCAAGUCGAGCGGGCACUCUCGGGUGUCAGCGGCGGACGGGUGAGUAACGCGUGGGAACGUGCCCUCUGGUUCGGAAUAACUCAGGGAAACUUGAGCUAAUACCGGAUACGCCCUUUUGGGGAAAGGCUUGCUGCCGGAGGAUCGGCCCGCGUCUGAUUAGCUAGUUGGUGAGGUAACGGCACACCAAGGCGACGAUCAGUAGCUGGUCUGAGAGGAUGAUUAGCCACACUGGGACUGAGACACGGCCCAGACUCCUACGGGAGGCAGCAGUGGGGAAUAUUGGACGAUGGGCGCAAGCCUGAUCCAGCCAUGCCGCGUGAGUGAUGAAGGCCUUAGGGUUGUAAAGCUCUUUUAUCCGGGACGAUAAUGACGGUACCGGAGGAAUAAGCCCCGGCUAACUUCGUG
rnacentral:rRNA from 1 species